UGGGGAAUAUUGGACAAUGGGCGAAAGCCUGAUCCAGCCAUGCCGCGUGUGUGAAGAAGGUCUUCGGAUUGUAAAGCACUUUAAGUUGGGAGGAAGGGCAGUAAGCGAAUACCUUGCUGUUUUGACGUUACCGACAGAAUAAGCACCGGCUAACUCUGUGCCAGCAGCCGCGGUAAUACAGAGGGUGCAAGCGUUAAUCGGAAUUACUGGGCGUAAAGCGCGCGUAGGUGGUUCGUUAAGUUGAAUGUGAAAGCCCCGGGCUCAACCUGGGAACUGCAUCCAAAACUGGCGAGCUAGAGUAGGGCAGAGGGUGGUGGAAUUUCCUGUGAAGCGGUGAAAUGCGUAGAUAUAGGAAGGAACACCAGUGGCGAAGGCGACCACCUGGGCUCAUACUGACACUGAGGUGCGAAAGCGUGGGGAGCAAACAGG
rnacentral:rRNA from 1 species